AAAAUGCGAAAAGUAUUGUGACAUGCAAUCCUUGAGAAUCAACGAAUCUUUGAACGCACCUUGCACCGGGACGCGCGAGCGGGCCGGUAUACUUGUUUGAGCAUCGCGACAGCGUGGGCCGCAUAGCCUCUGGGCGUGUGGGCCGAGUGAGCCGACGGGGUGAGAGCGCCGUGGCUUGAAAGCGAGACAGCAGCGAGCGACGCGGCAUGGGAUAGCAUCUUGCAUGCGGCGGCGCAAGCUGACCUAGACUAGUGAGUGAGUCAACUGGUGAGUGAGUGAUGAGUGAGUGUGCAUAUGUGUAUCAUGUAUGUUCACUCGCUCGACACCCACUCGACACUGACUCGCUCGAUCUUUGACAGGGAUCUCAAAUCAAGUAGGAAGACCCGCCGAACUUAA
rnacentral:misc_RNA from 1 species